CUCUCUCUCUCUCUCUCUCUCUCUCUCUCUCUCUCUCUCUCUCUCUCUCAGACCAAGAGUACAUUUACUCAAACACUUGCUUAUUGCUCAUGGGUCAUUAGACUCUCAUUCUGGGGCCUUGCUCGGCUGCUUUUACUUUGAAGGGGGAGGGAUUGUGAUUAAAUGAAUGUGUUUGCUGCGGUGGCGUUCCAUUAGAGGAGGAGAGGGGGAGCCGGCCGGAGCGGGGCCUUGUAUUGUUUCUAUUAGCGGCGGGCGCAGCAGACGGCGUGUAAAGUGCUGUUGUGUUUGUGAUUACAUUAGCUCGCGGCGCGAUGGCUUUGGUCAUAAUCUGGGGCCUCUUGUAAGGGGAGCAGACAGGCUCUCACAGGGAAAGCAUUUAUCAAAUUAGGACAACAGAGCGCACUCAGGAGCGGUGACGUAGCGCACGCCACGCUACGUUAGCCUCAACCGCCGCCGCCGCCCCGCGCCGCCGAACGGACAGGUCUGCGCGGGCAUCGAACCCGCGACGUCCUGACAGCAAAUUCAUCAUCAUAAGUGUGGUGCUGACCUUGUGAGGCUCCGGUCCGUACCCCAGAUGAGCUCACCUCCAUGGACCUCUGGCCGGCCGACAGGACGCCAUGUCGUCAGCUCACUUCCUCAGAUAAGGGAGUCCUCCGAGUCAUGUGACCACGCGUCCUUCCCAGGGAGAUAAACCUGUCGCAGUGGAGACGUUGAGAGGAACAGUAUCGCCUGCAUGAGCAAAGCCAUCAACACCACCAUCAUCAUCAUCAUCAUCAUCAUCAUCAUCAGCUCAGACUCAGCAGGAAGACUCUCUCUAGGCGUCCAAUCAUAUUACAGUAACACGAGUUUACAACCCUCUGGAGUUUAGAACACACUUUGUUGACAUUUUGUAACAAGAAUGCAACUAAUUUAUCCAAAUCUAGAAAUAUACAGAAGUAAAUCCCCUAAUGAUUCCUUGAUUUGGAUUCCUACAGCUACUCUACUCUCCCCCAGUAGUUUUUAUUAAACUUGGUCGUUCAGGACUUGGAAUGUUUCUGCAGUUAUUGAUUGUAAGGAAAGUGAUUAUCUGCUUGCAUUGUUCCCAGCCUUGCUUGGAAGUGACUUUGGAUAAAGUGUCUGUUGAACGAAGGAACAUUGUGCAGUUUGUGUCAGGUUGAGUCGUACUUCAACAGAUUCAGGG
ensembl:lncRNA